AUACGGAAGGUCCGGGCGGUAUCCGGAUUUAUUGGGUUUAAAGGGAGCGCAGGCGGAGAUGCAAGCGUGACGUCAAAUUUCGGGGCUCAACCCCGUCUCGCGUCGCGAACUGCGUCCCUUGGUUGCGGGAAGGGGAGGCGGAACUCGUGGUGGAGCGGGGGAAUGCAUAGAUAUCACGAAGAACUCCGAUCGCGAAGGCAGCCUUCCGGCCCGUCAACGACGCUCAUGCUCGAAGGUGCGGGUAUCAAACAGGAUUAGAUACCCUGGUAGUCCGCACAGUAAACGAUGGACACCCGCGGUUUGGCCUAUAUGGCUGAGCCGCCAAGCGAAAGCGUUAAGUGUCCCACCUGGGGAGUACGCCGGCAACGGUGAAACUCAAAUGAAUUGGCGGGG
rnacentral:rRNA from 1 species